GAUGAACGCUGGCGGCGUGCCUAAUACAUGCAAGUCGAGCGAACAGAUGAGGAGCUUGCUCCUCUGACGUUAGCGGCGGACGGGUGAGUAACACGUGGAUAACCUACCUAUAAGACUGGGAUAACUUCGGGAAACCGGAGCUAAUACCGGAUAAUAUAUUGAACCGCAUGGUUCAAUAGUGAAAGACGGUUUUGCUGUCACUUAUAGAUGGAUCCGCGCCGCAUUAGCUAGUUGGUAAGGUAACGGCUUACCAAGGCAACGAUGCGUAGCCGACCUGAGAGGGUGACCGGCCAAACUGGAACUGAGAAACGGUCCAGACUCCUACGGGAGGCAGCAGUAGGGAAUCUUCCGCAUGGGCGAAAGCCUGACGGAGCAACGCCGCGUGAGUGAUGAAGGUCUUCGGAUCGUAAAACUCUGUUAUUAGGGAAGAACAAAUGUGUAAGUAACUAUGCACGUCUUGACGGUACCUAAUCAGAAAGCCACGGCUAACUACGUG
rnacentral:rRNA from 1 species